GUUAUUAUAUUUCUGAUAAUAGUUCGUUGCAUUGAUUUAGUUUUUAUUCUGUAUUUUAGUUGUAUUUAUGCAAAAUUUUUUGUGCAUUUUAAACAUGGUGAUUUUUGCAACCAUUUCCGGCUUUGUUCUAGAACAUUUCAUUGACUUCUAUUCUAUAUAGUCCCUAUCCAACGCUACUCCCAUCUUCUUCUAUAAAUGGCUGUCUCUUAUGUUGUUUGGUUAUUUGUAAAAUCAGUAAUAGGCAGACAGCUUUUGUCAAACUUCGUUUUCAGAUAUUAUUAUGUGUGAUUCUCAUCAAUUGACAUAUUAUACACCCUUCAUAUAAAUAGGUUUUUUUAUUCUACUGUGAAUUUAAAUGUGUAUUACUGACGUCAAAAAUAUCCUCUUGAAACCAUGCUGCUGUUUUGUGAAUGAAUAUGUAAUUAUGUUCUUUGAACUAUAUUCUUUUGGAGCUGUGAGUUCAUACGGUGCCUGAUUCAUAUGAGGAGACUCACUGUCAUAUAUGCCGAAGUCUAUCUGAGUUAGAAUCGCUGAUGCUCACCGGUUCGUCUUUGCAUCUCUUUGUUCUGAGUGAACUGCCUACCACUGUUUGGCCGAUUCACGUACGAGAAUUGAGCUCAUUCUACUUGAAUCAUCAAUUCUGUGGAAGAACACAUCAUUUAUUGAGACUCUCCAAUGGUUGAGGUAGUUUCUCCAGAAGUGCUUCAAGUUCCAGGAUUCCUCGAAUCUACAAGGUGAACUUCCUUGAAGUCUACUCCUCGACAUGUUACAAGGUAGGUCAACUAUUUUAUU